UACGUAGGGUGCGAGCGUUAAUCGGAAUUACUGGGCGUAAAGCGUGCGCAGGCGGUUUUGUAAGCCAGAUGUGAAAUCCCCGGGCUUAACCUGGGAAUGGCAUUUGGGACUGCAAGGCUUGAGUGCGGCAGAGGAGACUAGAAUUCCUGGUGUAGCAGUGAAAUGCGUAGAUAUCAGGAGGAAUACCGAUGCCGAAGGCAGGUCUCUGGGCUGACACUGACGCUCAUGCACGAAAGCGUGGGGAGCAAACAGG
rnacentral:rRNA from 1 species